rnacentral:rRNA from 1 species
GACGAACGCUGGCGGCGUGCUUAACACAUGCAAGUCGAACGGAAAGGCCCUGCUUUUGUGGGCUGCUCGAGUGGCGAACGGGUGAGUAACCCGUGAGUAACCUGCCCUUGACUUUGGGAUAUCUUCAGGAAACUUGGGCUCUUACCGGCUAGGAGCUCCCGCUGCAUGGUGGGGGUUGGUAAGUUUCGGCGGUUGGGGAUGGACUCGCGGCGUAUCAGCUUGUUGGUGGGGUAGUGGCUUACCAAGGCUUUGACGGGUAGCCGGCCUGAGAGGGUGACCGGCCACACUGGGACGGAAAUGCGGCACGGACUCGUACGCGACGCAACGGUGGAGAAUAUAGCACAGUGGGAGGAGGGCUGACGCGACAAAGCAGCGUGGGGGGUGUCGGCAAUGGGGUUGGAAACCAAAGUCGUCUGUGACGAGGCGAGAAUGACGGUACUGGGUAAAGAAGCACCGGCUAACUACGUG